CCGCAGGCCGACUCUCUAUCCACUGAGCCAAACCGGCCGGGGCAUGGGCUUAACCAUUUUCAAGUGAACAGUUCAGUGGCACAAAGCACAUUCACACUGUUCAACAACCAUCUCACCAUCCAUCUCCAGAACUUUCUCAUCUUCCCAAACUGAAAAACCCAUCUCCAUUAAACAUUAACUCCUCACCCCCAUCCCCCACCGCUGGC